ACCAUGUUCUCUGUAGCUGUACUGCUGCUGCUCCUGGCUGCUGGCUCUGGUGUGAACAGUGAACAGCUUACUCAGCCAGAGUCUCUGACUGUCCGACCUGGUCAAUCUCUGACUAUCCGCUGUCAGGUCUCUUAUUCUGUUAGUAGCCGCUACAUAGCUUGGAUCAGACAACCUGAAGGACAUGGACUGGAAUGGAUUGGACAGAUCUAUACUGGGGCAAAAUACCAGAAAGACUCCCUAAGUAGUAAAUUCAGUCUUUCCCUUGACGAGGCCAGUAAAACAGGGACAUUGCUGGGACAAAACAUGCAGCCUGGAGACUCAGCUGUGUAUUACUGUGCCAGAGA